GAUGAAGAACGCAGCGAAAUGCGAUAAGUAAUGUGAAUUGCAGAAUUCAGUGAAUCAUCGAAUCUUUGAACGCACAUUGCGCCCGCCAGUAUUCUGGCGGGCAUGCCUGUUCGAGCGUCAUUUCAACCCUCAAGACCCCUUCGGGGGACUUGGUGUUGGGGACCGGCACAGGGGCCUGCCUGCUUGUCUUGCAGCGCCCUCGCCGCCCCCGAAAUGAAUUGGCGGCCUCGUCGCGGCCUCCCCUGCGUAGUAGCACAACCUCGCAACGGGAACGUGACGGCGGCCACUGCCGUAAAACAACCCCAAUUUUAUUAGAGUUGACCUCGAAUCAGGUAGGAAUACCCGCUGAAAUUAAGCAUAUCAAUAAGCGGAGGA
rnacentral:misc_RNA from 1 species